GGGGAUAACUGGUUUAGACAGCAGGUAGAAUAGGUGUGUAAGCAUACCGAGUAUGGAUUCCGCUCGUUAAUCGGGUCCGAGACCAUUAACUGGCAACAACACUGUAGCUCUCGCUGCUUGAUCUGAAGCAUAGUAGGAUCGCUUAUUUUCCCUACAAGGUGGGGAAACGAGACAUCGCUCCAAGCCAAUGCCAUGAGGCUGAAUGGGUAUAGCGGUGCAGAAAUAUCAGGGCUGGCGCUUGCGGGCUGCGACGCAAGGGUGAGAUUUAGCAGAUAAGCCGGUGGUUGGUGGCUUGGGUCUUGCCGCCGGUCGAAAACGAAGGCCAAGAUAAGUAUGUAGAAAGCGCAUUGAUUCCUUGUUUGGACGCGGGUUCGAAUCCCGCUAUCUCCAC
rnacentral:sRNA from 1 species